rnacentral:rRNA from 1 species
AGCGGCUUCUGGACUGACACUGACGCUGAGGUGCGAAGCGUGGGUAGCAAACAGGUAUUAGAUACCCUGGUAGUCCACGCCGUAAACGAUGUCGACUAGCCGUUGGGCUCCUUGAGAGCUUUGUGGCGCAGUUAACGCGAUAAGUCGACCGCCUGGGGAGUACGGCCGCAAGGUUAAAACUCAAAUGAAUUGACGGGGGCCCGCACAAGCGGUGGAGCAUGUGGUUUAAUUCGAUGCAACGCGAAGAACCUUACCUACCCUUGACAUCGUGCGAACUUUCCAGAGAUGGAUUGGUGCCUUCGGGAACGCACAGACAGGUGCUGCAUGGCUGUCGUCAGCUCGUGUUGUGAAAUGUUGGGUUAAGUCCCGUAACGAGCGCAACCCUUGUCCUUAUUUGCCAGCGAGUAUGUCGGGACUCUAAGGAGACUG